rnacentral:rRNA from 1 species
AUUGAACGCUGGCUGCAGGCUUAACACAUGCAAGUCGAACGAGUGGCGGACGGGUGAGUAAUGUUUGGGAAUCUGGCUUAUGGAGGGGGAUAACGACUGGAAACUGUCGCUAAUACCGCCUACCAUAGUAUGUGCCCAAAUGGGAUUAGUUAGUUGGUGGGGUAACGGCCCACCAAGCCGACGAUCCCUUGCUGGUCUGAUAGGAUGACCAGCCACACCGGGACUGAGACACGGCCCGGACUCCUACGGGAGGCAGCAGUGGGGAAUAUUGCGCAAUGGGGGCAAGCCUGACGCAGCCAUGCCGCGUGAAGGAAGAAGGCCUUCGGGUUGUAAUGUUCUUUCAGUGAGGAGGCGUUAAUCACAGAAGAAGCACCGGCUAACUCCGUGCCAGCAGCCGCGGUAAUAC